GCUGGCAGCUAGCUCUCUGCAACUCUCACAUGGUCGCCUACUAAAGUUAAGCAGGGCUGCGCCUGGUCAGUACCUGGAUGGGAGACCACAUGGGAAAGCUAGGUUGCUGCCGGAA
rnacentral:rRNA from 1 species